rnacentral:rRNA from 1 species
UGAGAUGGCCUCGCGUCCGAUUAGCUAGUUGGUGAGGUAACGGCCCACCAAGGCGACGAUCGGUAGCCGGACUGAGAGGUUGAACGGCCACAUUGGGACUGAGACACGGCCCAGACUCCUACGGGAGGCAGCAGUGGGGAAUAUUGCACAAUGGGGGAAACCCUGAUGCAGCGACGCCGCGUGGAGGAAGAAGGUCUUCGGAUUGUAAACUCCUGUUAUUGGGGAAAAGAAGGAUGGUACCCAACAAGGAAGUGACGGCUAACUACGUGCCAGCAGCCGCGGUAAAACGUAGGUCACGAGCGUUGUCCGGAAUUACUGGGUGUAAAGGGAGCGCAGGCGGGUAUGCAAGUUGGGAGUGAAAUACAUGGGCUCAACCCAUGAACUGCUCUCAAAACUGUGUAUCUUGAGUAGUGCAGAGGUAGGCGGAAUUCCCGGUGUAGCGGUGGAAUGCGUAGAUAUCGGGAGGAACACCAGUGGCGAAGGCGGCCUACUGGGCACCAACUGACGCUGAGGCUCGAAAGUGUGGGUAGCAAACAGGAUUAGAUACCCUGGUAGUCCACACCGUAAACGAUGAUUACUAGGUGUUGGAGGAUAGACCCCUUCAGUGCCGCAGU